rnacentral:rRNA from 1 species
UACGGAGGGUGCAAGCGUUGUUCGGAAUUACUGGGCGUAAAGCGCGCGUAGGUGGCUUUUUAAGUCAGAUGUGAAAGUCCACGGCUCAACCGUGGAAGUGCAUUUGAAACUGGAAAGCUUGAGUAUUGGAGGGGGUAGUGGAAUUCCCGGUGUAGAGGUGAAAUUCGUAGAUAUCGGGAGGAAUACCAGUGGCGAAGGCGACUACCUGGCCAAAUACUGACACUGAGGUGCGAAAGCGUGGGGAGCAAACAGG